GGUAAGCAAAACUGGCGCUGUGGGAUGAACCAAACGCCGGGUUACGGCGCCCGAUGCGAGACGCUCAUGAAACCCCAUGAAAGGUGUUGGUUGCUCCAAACAGCAGGACGGUGGCCAUGGAAGUCGGAAUCCGCUAAGGAGUGUGUAACAACUCACCUGCCGAACCAACUAGCCCUGAAAAUGGAUGGCGCUCCAGCGUCAAGCCCAUACCCGGCCGCUUCCGCAAAGCUUCUUAUUUAGGAGGUUUACGCGGAAGUGAGUAGGAGGGUCGCGGCGGGGUGCGUUGAAGGUGCCGGGCGCGAGCCCGCCUGGAGCCCCCGUCGGUGCACAUCUUGGUGGUAGUAGCAAAUACUCAAGUGAGAACCUUGAGGACUGAAGGUGGAGAAGGGUUCCAUGUGAACAGCAGUUGAACAUGGGUCAGUCGGCCCUAAGGGAUCGGAGAAAUCCGUUCC
rnacentral:rRNA from 1 species